UUAAGUCAUUGACAUGUUGUCAGCAGUCGCGUCAUAAUGGUGUAUAAGGCACUGUAUUCAUUUUCCCUUCCUGUUUGUACAGUAUCUGCCAUGAAUAACUUUAACAGAUGCACCAGUGUUUAUCAUGCUCUUGUGCAGAAUGGCAGAGAAAUAACUUUGGAGACGACCCUGUCAAUCACUUCUUCGUGGUGGAAGCCACUAGCGAUUGCCUGGGUGAUACAGCAGAGCCAGAGAUAGUGGGUUGCUCUACUAACUCCUUCACCCACUGCCCCAGGGACGGAUGAUUUUCUUGGGAGAGUUCUACAUUCGAACUGCCCACAGAGGGACAGGUCUUGGAAAGGCUCUGAUGGAGAAAGUUGCUGAGGCUGGGAUUAAGGACCGCUGCAAGGGCAUGAACUGGCUCCUGAGGGCUUCCAAUGACAGCACCUGGCAGUUCUACCGUCGCUUCAACGCAAUCGAUAUGACUACACAGCACGAGUGGAGAUUCAUGCGAGUAAAGGGGGACAGUGAUGCACACAGUUCCUGAAGCAGGGUCAAAUAUUCAUUUUCUUUAGGCCGGGUAAAUGUCACAUCUAAGUUACUUGGCUAUCGGCCGGAUUAGCUUGCACGCCAGCUGCUACCCAGCAGCCAUCAUACUUACAUGCAGGCAGGCAGCAACAGCCAAGCAGUCAAUAAGAGAUCUACACAUAGAAAGUUUCAGUAUGUGGUUUUAGUUUUAGCAUGAAUUUGGCGUCUUAUUCAAAAGUGUUGUUACUGUUUUUGUGGAUAAAUUUUCUAAGAAAGUGCCCAAUGAUAGUAGAUGAAAUACAAAACAAGGACCAAAUCACGCCUAUUGAUUUUUUGGACCCCACUGGUCAGAGGUCAGUGUCACUGUUGAAACAAAGAAAUGGUCUUUCCUGCCAUAGCUCAAGGACUGAACAUGUCAACUUCAAUUUGGUACAUGUUUUUAUUUAUUCUCAGUGACCUCUGAAAGCCUGCAGAUGAAGUCAGACUUAAGCACCUGACACUGGGUGACGUGUUUACGCAAAGUUUUCCUUAUUUGCUACACUGAGGACAUGUACACUCGUAUAUGUGUACACUUGACUUACACGUACUAAUGUGUCAUGCUUGGUUGGGUCAAAGUGCAGAAGAUGACCUUACACAGGGACGCUGCUACCACAAAAAAAAACCGAAAUGCGUUUCUUGAGUAAUUAUAAUUUGGGAGGGGCCUAGACCAUACACAAAAGAGCAUAGGGGAUUAUGACCUCCUUUGUCGGGGUAGGCUGAUCUGCUAGGGAGAAAAAAAACCAUGCUUGCAAAAGAGUUAAGGAUACAAAAAUCCCAACUACCAACUUUUUUAUAUCGAAAAAACUGGUACAAAAUACACAUGGUCAUUGAUGCUUCCAGUAUACCCUGUGGACCUUUUGUAUGUGGACCGGUUGAGGUGUGGACAUGCGCCACAGGUUUACCAGGACAGUUGAAAAAAGGGGAGAGGAAUGAAAAUACUGAUGCCUAAACUCAAGAGCUGUGGCUCCCAACAUAUUUUAUGGAUGUCAUAAAUAAAUAGCAAAAUUGAAGAAUUUGCAGAAAAAAGACCUCCUCCCUGGCAGCUUUUUCACGUAGGAAAAUCCAAGUCAAAUAUCAAGGUCAUCAAUCUUGGUGUUCUGGAGAAACAUUUUGUGAUCACAAAUUUAAGCCAUAGCUUGGUCUUGGCAGGGCAUUAGUGUUUAUAAUGUACCGGUGUUAAUGAUUAAGGUCAUACAUAUACAUUCAAGAGGAAUUGAAUGUUGCAGAAACUGAAAUAUGUAUCUCAGAAAUGCCCGUCAUAAGGACCAACAGUCUUUGAAUUGCUUUGUAAAUAAAACUUUGCAGGGGUGAGAUUGGAAGAAAAUUAAAAACCCAUGAAGUAGUCACAGGAAGUGUUGAGGGCCCCACAGCAGUGCAGGGUCCCGUAUACAUUUGUGUUUGCCUAAAGGCAACCCUCUACAUACUUUUGUUUUAUAUGAACCUUUAUAUUUGAAAAGACCAAGAUGGUAAAAUUGAGAUAUUUCAGGUUUUAAAAACAGAUAGUUUCAAAAUCCUGAAGUCAGGAAAAUCCUGAUGAAAAAAUCCUGAAAUCAAGAAAAACUCAGACAAAUCUGAUCCCUGACCUUGAAAGGAAAGGGCCACAUUUUUUACUUUGAUGACAGGGUGAUACAUGAAGUUGUCCACAGUUUUUCACACAUUCUCAGAGAUUAGUGAUAAUGUAUUAACAUUCCGGUCAUGAUGCAUGAGUGAGCGGCUGACAUGCCCCUGAUGGGCUCCUGUGUUUGAUGGGGUUUUCUACAUUUCUUGGGUCUUAUUUAGCAAUAAUUGUACCACAGUUAAGUCUGUUUGUUAAACACAUAUUCUAGGCGUCUUCCAGACAGUUAGUUCUGCUUUUUAUCAAGAUGUUGCCAGUUUCUGGGCAUACUUCCUGACGAUGAGACAGUGGCCAUUAUAUGGUUUGUUCAUCAACAAUAUGCCUUUCAGUAUGACAGAGUAUUCAGCUAUUCGAUCGAACUGAAGGUCAAAUCUUCUAAUAGUGAUUUAUUUGAAUUGACUCAGCCGUACAUUAUUGUGGAUCACAAAUUGAUAUGUUAGACAAAUUUUAGACAGUUUCCAUCAUAUAAAAUACAUACAAACUGAUCUUACGUGCAGUCUGUUUGUUUUCUUUCUUGCCUUUAUUGCAAUCUCCACUCUAGUCACACAAAAAAAUGGAUUUUGGCCAAUUUUGCAUGAGCUGCAUUUUUAAUCAACAGAACAGCAACACCAAUUUUUCCCCCACCAUCACUGCAUGGUACUUGUAUGGUUAGGAAAUAAACAUAGAUUUUACUUCUUUGUUUUCAAAAUUUGAUUUAAAGUUGUUGACCACCAACCAUGCAAAGGACACAACCAAACUAUGGAAAAAUUCUUUUCUUUUGGAAUGUCUUAUUAGGCCUUGCAAGCAGUUCAGUGUACAUAUCUAGGUGCUUGCUGGCUAUGUCAUACAAAUUUUCACGCUUAAAAAAGUCCAAUGGAAUGUUUAUCAAAUAUCACAGAAGUUUCUGUCAAGUUGAUUACAAAUCUUUCAAAGUACUGCCCUGACGUUUCAAAAAUAUGCACUACAUUUACACAGGAACCACGCAUGCUCCAUUGCCUUUUAACAAAUUGUGCAGCAGGACAGUUUGUCACGGAAAACUGCCAUAACAAAAGCCACUUUACUUCUUGUGGAAUCCGAGAUUUUUCUGUACAAUUUUGUACACACUGAAUUGAUUUUCAGUAAACAGAAAUUUCAGGAAGUUCAAAACUACUCUGUACUUGACCAUGCACUCAUUAUUGGUAAUUCAUCAGAAAAGUUAAACAGCGUAUUGUAAAUAACAGAAAAUGGAGUUAAAAUUUAAAAAAAGAUUUACUCAGAACUUCAUUUGUUCUUGCCAGUUCCUUUGCAGUGUGUUCUUGAAAGCCUUAAAAGAAAA
rnacentral:misc_RNA from 1 species